CCCUCACUGACGAUGGACAAGGAGACACCUUGUUGUUGGCGUUUUUCUUAUAUGAGUCAGGAGCUGAGCAUAUGGCAGUCCCUUGUUCAUCCUAGCACGAAGCCUGGUAUGUUGACCAGUGCUGUUUUAUGCCUAGGAUUCAUAA